GGCCGGUUGGCCUAGUGGUAAGGCGUGUGCCUCCUAAGCACGAGACCGCGGGUUCGAAUCCCGCAUCGGUCG